UACGAAGGGGGCUAGCGUUGCUCGGAAUUACUGGGCGUAAAGGGUUCGUAGGUGGUGCGGCAAGUUGGGAGUGAAAUCUCUGGGCUUAACUCAGAGGCUGCUUUCAAAACUGCCGCGCUCGAGUGCGAGAGAGGUCAGUGGAAUUGCAGGUGUAGCGGUGAAAUGCGUAGAUAUCUGCAGGAACACCCGUGGCGAAGGCGGCUGACUGGAUCGCAACUGACACUGAGGAACGAAAGCUAGGGGAGCAAACAGG
rnacentral:rRNA from 1 species